rnacentral:rRNA from 1 species
GACGAACGCUGGCGGCGUGCUUAACACAUGCAAGUCAGGGGGCGGGGUAACCCGUCACCGGCGAACGGGUGCGGAACACGUGAGCGACCUGCCCUGGUGUGGGGGAUAGCCGGCCCAACGGCCGGGUAAUACCGCAUACGGCGCCCGCUUGGAAGCGGGAGGCGAAACUCGCAAGAGGCGCUAGGAGGGGCUCGCGGCCUAUCAGCUAGUUGGUGCGGUAACGGCGCACCAAGGCGAUGACGGGUAGCUGGUCUGAGAGGAUGGCCAGCCACAUUGGGACUGAGAGACGGCCCAGACUCCUACGGGAGGCAGCAGUGGGGAAUAUUGCGCAAUGGGCGAAAGCCUGACGCAGCGACGCCGCGUGGAGGAUGAGGCCCUUCGGGGUGUAAACUCCUGUUGCCCGGGACGAAUGCCCCCCAUCGGCGGGGUUGACGGUACCGGGUGAGGAAGCACCGGCUAACUCUGUG